rnacentral:rRNA from 1 species
GACGAACGCUGGCGGCGUGCUUAACACAUGCAAGUCGUACGGUAAGGCCCUUUCGGGGGUACACGAGUGGCGCACGGGUGAGUAACACGUGAGUAACCUGCCCACAACUUUGGGAUAACGCUAGGAAACUGGUGCUAAUACUGGAUAUGUGCUCCUGCUGCAUGGUGGGGGUUGGAAAGCUCCGGCGGUUGUGGAUGGACUCGCGGCCUAUCAGCUUGUUGGUGGGGUAGUGGCCUACCAAGGCGGCGACGGGUAGCCGGCCUGAGAGGGUGACCGGCCACAUUGGGACUGAGAUACGGCCCCGACUCCGAAGGGAGGCAGCAGUGGGGAAUAUUGCACAAUGGGCGCAAGCCUGAUGCAGAAACGCCGCGGGCGGGAUGACGGCCUUCGGGUUGUAAACCGCUUUCAGCAGGGACGAAGCUUUUUGUGACGUUACCUGCAGAAGAAGCACCGGCUAACUACGUG